rnacentral:rRNA from 1 species
AACGAACGCUGGCGGCAGGCUUAACACAUGCAAGUCGAGCGCCCCGCAAGGGGAGCGGCAGACGGGUGAGUAACGCGUGGGAAUCUACCCAUCUCUACGGAAUAACUCAGGGAAACUUGUGCUAAUACCGUAUACGCCCUUCGGGGAAAGAUUUAUCGGAGAUGGAUGAGCCCGCGUUGGAUUAGCUAGUUGGUGGGGUA